UUUUUAACAAUUCAGAUUUUUCAGCAGUUCAGCCUCAAGCAAUGGCUCCAAAUUUUGUCAUUGAAGUACCUUUUAGUGCUGCAUUUCCUGUGGUUCAACAAGCUGAUACAGGAGGUUUUGAUGCAUUUGAGGAUGUGUUGCAGCCUCAGGCAACCAGUACUCUUGUUCCCCCCGAAGAGUGUGAUCCAAAGUCAUCUCCCACAUCUACAGCAGGGGGAAGACUCAUAUCAUCCGACUUAGAUUCAAGCCUUCAAAUUUGAGUCCAAAAUCUAGACAUCAAUGGACCAAAGAAAUCUCCUGCCAAAACUGGUGGUCAUCAGUGGGGUUCUCCAAAAAUUUCUUCUAGAACUGGUGGUGUGAACUGGAGUCCAAAUACACCGGUGUCAAACUAUUUUGGUGUGCCACAGAAUGUGCCACCUGUGGUAAGAGCGAUAUUUUUAUAAAAAUUGAUUUUAAUAUCUUUUUAAGGUUGCUUCAAUUUUUUAUUUUUAAAAAAAAAUGAAACAAACUUGUAUUUUUGCCCUCUAUGUUACCUUACUUGUUAGGCAUGAAUUUAUACUUAC